CUGGAGGCCAAACGAGUCGAUCCAAGGUCUGGAGCUCACCCUAGUAUCUUGUGCAAGUCCACACCAGCAGGCUGAUGGGUCAUCGACAGAAGGCUGAAGGCUCUGUGAUGAAAGGCUGAAGAGUCUAUGCCGGAAAGCUGAGGAGCCUACACUGCAAGCCAGGAGAUGACCUCCAAACCAAAAGUGAAGACUGAAGCUUCUCCCAAGAAUAGAAUGCAUUGGUAUUUCCUCCUUCCCUUUUAUACCUCCAGGUUAUUUUCAUUUUGGUGCCUGAAUAGUACUCUGUGGAGGAUGCUGAUUCUGACCUGCUGGUUCCUGGCCAGAUUGUCGUUCGAGAAAUUGGACAAGAGGAAUAGACCACAGCAAGAGCUGGUGUGAGCAGGCCAGGAUACAGCUCAGUGGCAUAAGCACCUGCCUGGCAAGCAUGAAGUCCUGAGUUCGAUCCCUGGUACCAAAAAAUAAAUAAAACUCAAUUAA